UUGGGCACAACAGCAAGUUCUUCAUCCAGCAAAAUUGUACUCAUCUGUAGACAAAGUUGUCUUCAAUGAUCCAAGGUGGCUAGACCAGUGGUACAUGAUGAGAGAUGAUGGUCCUACCUAUGAUGUGCUUGAUGUGUGGAAGAUGGGUCUUACUGGCAAAGGAAUUGUUGUUGCAGUGGUGGAUGAAGGAUUAGAAAAAAAUCAUCCAGAGUUAAAACAAAACUAUGAUCAAACUGCCAGUUUUGACUUCAUUGAGAAUGACAGUGAUCCAUCCUCUAGG